GUCCUAGCCGUAAACGAUGGAUACUAGGUGUUGCCCGUAUCGACCCGGGCAGUGCCGUAGCUAACGCGUUAAGUAUCCCGCCUGGGGAGUACGCACGCAAGUGUGAAACUCAAAGGAAUUGACGGGGGCCCGCACAAGCGGUGGAGUAUGUGGUUUAAUUCGAUGCAACGCGAAGAACCUUACCAGGGCUUGACAUGUCUGGAAUCUUUGGGAAACUAAAGAGUGCCUUCGGGAACCAGAACACAGGUGGUGCAUGGCUGUCGU
rnacentral:rRNA from 1 species